rnacentral:lncRNA from 1 species
UUAGUAUUUUUUUUUUUCAAAGAGGGUUUUGAUUAGUAUUCAUUGUUAACUUGCACAGUAUACUAAUAAUGUUAAUUGUAUGAGUUUUACAGAAGCAUUCCAGCAUAACAAAUCUCCGACAGAGUUUGGAUAAAAUGUUUUACAACUUUAUUAGAUGGAGAGACUAGAGAAUGUGGGUUUCUAAGAGCAACUACAACAGGGGC